CCAUCCCUCAGAGCUCACAGACCGGACACCAUCACCACCGGGCUGCGAGCAGUCACUUCUCUUUUCUAGCGGAUGUUUCACUAUGAGCAAAGUGAUCUCUUUGCUUUCACUAGUCCAGAAUGCAAGUCUCUCACCACCUCUCACCACCGUCUCCCUUUGUGGAUGGAUGUCCCUGCCUCCCACGGAAAAAAAAAAAAAAAAAAAAAAAAAGGGAAAUGAGAGAUGGACUGAGGUUGAAUCCACUUGUCUCAAAAUCCUGGAUUGGGCAAUCAGCCCUGACCCAUUGGGAGAACCUCCGGUGUACUGUGAAGAGGAGCCCUAUCAAGUGGCCCCGCAGUUUGUAUUAUCCUGACUUAUUCUGUCAAGAUGGACUUCCAUGCAGCAAAACAAUUUCUGCCUUCAAGGAUCCAUACAGCGAGCCGAUUGAAGAUAGUAUUUAUACCACAAGGAGAUUCAGGCAACUAAGAAAUGGCAGAGCUGCCCACUCUCCAUCUUCUAGAACUUUCUGUGGCUAGCAAGGUGGCUCAGUUGCUGGAGUGCUUGUCUAGUGUUCUUGCAGCCCUGAGUUCAGCCCCCUCUACCACAUAAACCAGGUGUGGUGUCUGCUGCCUGUAAUCCCAGAAUUUGUGAGGUAGAGGCAGGAGGAUCGGAAGUUCAAAGCCACCCUUAGUCAGAUAAUGAGAAUGCUUUCUUCUGCCGGGCACAUUACAAGGAAAAAAAAACCAAGUAACUCUUCAACCAGCGGCAACAGGAAGUGAACCACAAAGCAACUGAAGGUAUCCAGGAGUGAUUCUGAAAAUAGCUUUAUAGCCACUCUUUCUCACAAAAGCAUGUGUUCUGUCAUGAUGGAGUCAGUGAUGUGAAGAGGUUGUUCUGUGGACACCCUGAGCCUGAUGGACAGCCUUUAUGUGGUAGCAAAUGAAGCACAAAUCCUUCCCUUGCUGAACGUCUGUAUGAUGCUGGCUGUCACACAUGCCUUUCCGACAGGACUGUUAAAGAUCAAGCACUAAAAGAUGUGAGUAGACUUUGCAAACAUUGAAGAACCUGUGCAAAUGAUAUACUACUUUUUGUUCUUCUACAAUAAGAUUUUAGAAUGAACUGAUAGAAUAAAAAUGCUAUGAACCCGA